UGCAGGAUCUAGAGGAUCCGUGGCGGGAGGAAGAGAAGCCGAGUGGUUUCUGGGCUCCUGCAAGAGUCGAAGCAGCAGCAGCUGGUGGAUGAAGAGGAUACUAAUAAGAGCACUCCGGACAACUAGGAAUAACCAGCAACUUUGAAAAUUAA